rnacentral:rRNA from 1 species
UACUCAAAAAGAACAUNUCAGUUCAGAUUGCAGGCUGCAACUCGCCUGCAUGAAGUCGGAAUUGCUAGUAAUCGUAGGUCAGCAUACUACGGUGAAUACGUUCCCGGGCCUUGUACACACCGCCCGUCAAACCAUGAGAGUUGGCAACACCCGAAGUCGGUAGUCUAACCGCAAGGAGGACGCCGCCGAAGGUGGGGUUGAUGAUUAGGGUUAAGUCGUAACAAGGUACC